GUGGGGAAUCUUGCGCAAUGGGCGAAAGCCUGACGCAGCCAUGCCGCGUGAAUGAUGAAGGUCUUAGGAUUGUAAAAUUCUUUCACCGGGGACGAUAAUGACGGUACCCGGAGAAGAAGCUCCGGCUAACUUCGUGCCAGCAGCCGCGGUAAUACGAAGGGGGCUAGCGUUGCUCGGAAUUACUGGGCGUAAAGGGCGCGUAGGCGGACAGCUUAGUCAGAGGUGAAAGCCCAGGGCUCAACCUUGGAAUUGCCUUUGAUACUGGCUGUCUUGAGUUUGGUAGAGGUGAGUGGAACUCCGAGUGUAGAGGUGAAAUUCGUAGAUAUUCGGAAGAACACCAGUGGCGAAGGCGACUCACUGGCCCAAUACUGACGCUGAGGCGCGAAAGCGUGGGGAGCAAACAGGAUUAGAUACCCCUGUAGUCC
rnacentral:rRNA from 1 species